UGCUUUAUUCAAUGGAUGUGACGAUUAUGUC
rnacentral:piRNA from 1 species